AUUGAACGCUGGCGGCAGGCCUAACACAUGCAAGUCGAGCGAGCGGCGGACGGGUGUGUAAUGUAUGGGGAAUGUCCGAUAGAGGGGGAUAACUAUAGGAAACGGUAGCUAAUACCGCCUACUACCUGAGAACCCAUAUGGGAUUAGAUAUUAGGUGAGGUAAUGGCUCACCUAGGCGACGAUCCCUCGCUGGUCUGUGAGGUUGAUCAGCCACACUGGGACUGAGACACGGCCCAGACUCCUACGGAGGCAGCAGUGGGGAAUAUUGCACAAUGGGCGCAAGCCUGAUGCAGCCAUGCCGCGUGUAUGAAGAAGGCCCUAGGGUUGUAAAGUACUUUCAGUCGGGAGGCGUUACCGGCAGAAGAAGCACCGGCUAACUCCGUGCCAGCAGCCGCGGUAAUUC
rnacentral:rRNA from 1 species